AGGAGUGGGAAUGUGCCAGAGUGAAACCGGAUGGAAGGAAAGUGAAAUCAAGGGUGUGAUGUGGUAUAAAGCUGAUCACCACUGUGGGAAACUGAGGUCUUCUCUCUAGAACUCUCUCUAGAGAGUCAGAUGGAAUGGACCUCCCCGUUGUCUGCCUGAGGGACAUAAGACAGGAGGACUUCUCUGUGGUCCCUUCCCCACUGGUCAAGGGUGUUAAGCCCCUCCUGUUUCCAGGUUGACACAUUUGACAGAAAAGCUAAGAAGGUUGCUGCAGGUGACCCACUGCAGAGCAGACACACCUCUGGACAGAAAGCCAGAGCUAUGAAGGGUAGCUAAAGUGAGGUGCCAGAGUGUAACUGAGGAAAACGAGAUGAAACGAGAGAAUGAGCCUUAGGGCAUGAGAGGUACACCAUAUGUAUAGCUUUGUGAAGGUUUAGGGAUUGAAAUGCCUUGCUCUUCCAGUCAUGACUCUCUUCUUAAUUAGAAUGUGAUGAGACGCACGUCUUAUCUUGUUUUUCUUUUAGAGUAAGAGCCUCAUUGUAGAAGAAAAAGUCAAGUGGGAUCCUCUGAAACUACCCACCUCCCCAUCCAGCCAAGAGAGUAAAUAAAAAAACCAAGUCACAUCUCAGAGGAGCAUGGACGAGAUUAGAGCCAUCCUCAAAGCUUUAAAGGAUGCAGGGGUGGUAGCUCCCAUUUACUUAUUCUGGCCUCUAUGAAAACCAGAUGGUGGAUGAUCAUGCAUUACUUAACGGUAACAAAGGAGGGGCCCCAGUUGCAGCUGCUGGGCUGGAUGUGGGACCUUUACUAAAGAAGAUUAACAGAGCCUCAAGUAUGUAGUGUUCAUUUGAUCUGUUCACGCCUAUGGCCUCAUGGUGGUUUCCCAACGACCAGCCAGCAGAGGAAGAAAAACCCAAGCUUGGUUCACAGACGGAUGGGCUGGGUGAAGUUAGUUCGGGUUGAUAACGGACUGAUAAUUCCCAUUCAGGGAUGGCCUUGAACGACAGAGGUGCAGGGGCCGGAAACCUGAAAACUACAUCUCCCAGACUCUCUCUCAUCUGCUGGGUCUGAUUAGGUUCUGGCACGGGAGGUCCUGGCAAGAGGUUACAAAGCAGGAAGCGCAGAAGAGCCCUUACUUUCCUUCUUCUGCUCUGGCUGGGGCAGCAGCGGUGGCAGGCCAUCACAGGCCACACAGAUUGCUGUAAUAGUGGCACAGUCAUAGCAACAGUGCCAGAAGACAAUUAGCAGCUCCAGCAACAGCAACAUCUUUCAGCAAAAACGGGACUGUGGCUUCCAGAAUCCUGAACCAUCACAGGGACCUCUGGCUUCCUGUGAAGCAGCAGCUGCUGUGGUUCCAACAGUGGCAGUGCAGCAGUGGUGCUCUCAAAGCCCCAGCAGCACAGCACUCAGGGGAUCUGGGCAGCACCCUUUCCCUUUUUCUCCUCCUGCCUUAUAGUUUGGCAGCUUCCUGGACUUACUGAUAUCUGAGUAGCAUCCUUUCACCUUUUGGCCCCUUCAGCCCUUCUAACACUUUUGCAAACAAUUCUCUAUAUCAAAGGCUAAAGGUUAGAAAUACCCAAAUUGUGGGACUUCUCUGGUGGCACAGUGGUUAAGAAUCCGCCUGCCAAUGCAGGGGACAUGGGUUCGAGCCCUGGUCCGGGAAGAUCCCA